GGAGAGAUGGCCGAGCGGUUGAAGGCGCAGCAUUGGAAAUGCUGUGUACGGGAAACCGUACCCAGGGUUCGAAUCCCUGUCUCUCCG
rnacentral:tRNA from 1 species